rnacentral:rRNA from 1 species
AGUAGUCACGGUAGUUUGAUCCCUGGCUACAGAACGACGCUGGCGGCAUGCCUAACACAUGCAAGUCGAACGAGACCUUCGGGUCUAGUGGCGCACGGGUGCGUAACGCGUGGGAACCUGCCUUUAGGUUCGGAAUAACUCAGAGAAAUUUGAGCUAAUACCGGAUAAUGUCUUCGGACCAAAGAUUUAUCGCCUUUAGAUGGGCCCGCGUUGGACUAGCUAGUUGGUGGGGUAAAGGCCUACCAAGGCGACGAUCCAUAGCUGGUCUGAGAGGAUGAUCAGCCACACUGGGACUGAGACACGGCCCAGACUCCUACGGGAGGCAGCAGUGGGGAAUAUUGGACAAUGGGCGAAAGCCUGAUCCAGCAAUGCCGCGUGAGUGAUGAAGGCCUUAGGGUUGUAAAGCUCUUUUACCCGAGAUGAUAAUGACAGCAUCGGGAGAAUAAGCUCCGGCUAACUCCGUG